AAAUAAGGAGAAUAAACUUGAAACAAACGCGAAAUUUUCCAUGCAUUUCCAACUGUUCUUAAAACAAAGCUUUAAUGAAAGGAAACUAAAAUUAUCUAAAACUAGAAAAGACUCAGAAUACUGGAGAAAUACUAAAAAACCUAUAAAGAAACUAAUUCUAAGGAAACAAGGACUUUAAUAAUUAUCAUCAAGAUGCCUUCCAAAGAUGUCUUGCAACUUAAUCCUCCCUCAGACUUGAGUAGAUCCUGGAUAAUGCUUUUGGCAGAUAUGGAGCGAGAGCACGUGUCUGACGGCCCAGAUUUUCAUCGCCUUGGUGAAGAUACUUAGCAUAAACAUUAAUCAAGAUUUCACUGAGCUGAAGUACUUCUCCCCUGGCCUCGAUCAUACUUUCAUGGCAGUUUUACACCCACUGUUGCGU
rnacentral:lncRNA from 1 species